CCGGGGAGGGUGAGCCAAGAGGGACGUGGCGCUCUGCGGCGCGGGCUGAGAAGCCGCGCCCCUUCCUUCUCUGGCUUUCUUGGAGAGUCCUGUGGAGCAGGAUUUGGGUGGGUGAGGUGCUUACCCGGGACGCGGACAAAAACCCAGGAUCCCACAGGACAUCACCUGGCCAAGUUCUUCAUUGUGUUCAGAAUGGGGGAGAGGGAGGCAGGAGUACUUACAAGAGACAGGACUUCCCUGGUGGUCCAGUGGUAAAGAAUCCACCUCGCAAUGUGGGGGACGCAGGUUUGACCCCUGGUCGGGGAACUAAGAUCCCACGUGCUGCAGGGCAACUAAGCCUGCGCGUGGCAACCACUAAGCUCACGCACCUCAACUGCGUGCCACAAACUACAGAGCCCACGCACCCUGGAGCCUGCGCCACAACUAAGGAAGAGAAAACCUGCAUGCCACAACUAGAGAGAAGUCCAUGCGCCACAACGAAGAGCCCGCACUGCAAUGAAAGAUCCCACGUGCCUCAACGAAGAUCCCACAUGCCGCAACUAAGACCCGACACAGCCAAAAAAGAUAAAGAAAAUAAAUAAAAUAAAUAUUUAAAAAAAUAGCAAUAAAAAUAAAAUCAUCUCAAAUAUUAUUUUGUUUUUUCAACACAAAAGAUAAAAUCAAA